rnacentral:lncRNA from 1 species
UUUUUUCUUUUUUUCCCCCUCCGUCUCCUUCCCUUCAUGUUUUUUUUUUCUCCUUAGCUUUUGUUGGGCUCUCAUCAGUGAUCUUUUUAUUUCUUUCUUUACCUAGUUAUAAAUGCCACCUCUGUUCACUUCAUUUCUGCUUUUCCUUCACUGUUUCCUUCUCUCUCUCUCUCUCUCUCUCUCUCUCUCUCUCUCUCUGGUUUCCUCCAUUGCAAACCAAGUUUCCUUUCCAGCUUUCUGAAAGGUCCCUGUCUUCUCUCCACAUGCACACAAAGACCCACCAACCAUUUUUUACCCAUUUUAUCUUUUUUAAGACCCUAUAAUCACCCUCGUUUAUGUUUCUACCCCCUCUCUCUACACAUUUUGCCUUGAAAGAUUAGAUUUUUGUCUGUCUUUCUUUGCCAUUUCUUUUUUUAUCAUUCACAAAAUUCUUCUUCUUCUUCUUCUUCUGUUUUGGCCCACUGGAGGCCACAACUUGUGCUUCUAAACUACUACUGCCUUUUCUUGGUUACUGGGUUUUGGGUGAUUUGUGUUAUUUCAGGUCUACAUUGGCCUAUCUAUGCUUAUUGAGUCUCACUUGCCUAAAAAACAGAGAAGCCCUUUCUUUGCUUUUGUGGGUGCUC